GACAGUUUGAGAACAACUAAGACGGAUGGU
rnacentral:piRNA from 1 species